rnacentral:tRNA from 1 species
UCUAAGAUGGCAGAAAUAUGCCCAAGAGUUAAGAUCUUGUUAUGAAGACCAAUCUUCUCUUAGAU